AUUGAACGCUGGCGGCAUGCCUUACACAUGCAGGUCGAACGGUAACGGGUCUUCGGAUGCUGACGAGUGGCGAACGGGUGAGUAAUACAUCGGAACGUGCCUAGUAGUGGGGGAUAACUACUCGAAAGAGUGGCUAAUACCGCAUGAGAUCUAAGGAUGAAAGCAGGGGAUCGCAAGACCUUGUGCUACUAGAGCGGCCGAUGGCAGAUUAGGUAGUUGGUGGGAUAAAAGCUUACCAAGCCGACGAUCUGUAGCUGGUCUGAGAGGACGAUCAGCCACACUGGGACUGAGACACGGCCCAGACUCCUACGGGAGGCAGCAGUGGGGAAUUUUGGACAAUGGGCGCAAGCCUGAUCCAGCAAUGCCGCGUGCAGGAUGAAGGCCUUCGGGUUGUGAACUGCUUUUGUACGGAACGAAAAGCCCCGGGUUAAUACCCUGGGGUCAUGACGGUACCGUAAGAAUAAGCACCGGCUAACUACGUGCCAGCCGCCGCCGUAA
rnacentral:rRNA from 1 species